CCUACGGGUGGCAGCAGUGAGGAAUAUUGGUCAAUGGGCGCAAGCCUGAACCAGCCAAGUCGCGUGAGGGAUGACGGUCCUAUGGAUUGUACACCUCUUUUGUCGGGGAGCAAGGCCCGCCACGUGUGGCGGGACGGAGAGUACCCGCAGAAAACGCAUCGGCUAACUCCGUGCCAGCAGCCGCGGUAAUACGGAGGAUGCGAGCGUUAUCCGGAUUUAUUGGGUUUAAAGGGUGCGUAGGCGGAAGGUUAAGUCAGCGGUAAAAUGUCGGUGCUCAACACCGGCCUGCCGUUGAACCUGGUAGUCUUGAGUGAGCGAGAAGUAUGCGGAAUGCGUGGUGUAGCGGUGAAAUGCAUAGAUAUCACGCAGAACUCCGAUUGCGAAGGCAGCAUACCGGAGCGCAACUGACGCUGAGGCACGAAAGCGUGGGGAUCGAACAGGAUUAGAUACCCCAGUAGUC
rnacentral:rRNA from 1 species